rnacentral:rRNA from 1 species
UGCGCAGGCGGCGGCUCAAGUCAGGUGUGAAAUCCCCGGGCUUAACCUGGGAAUUGCGCUUGAAACUAGGUCGCUAGAGUGUGGCAGAGGGGGUGGAAUUCCACGUGUAGCAGUGAAAUGCGUAGAGAUGUGGAGGAACACCGAUGGCGAAGGCAGCCCCCUGGGUCAACACUGACGCUCAUGACAAAGACUGGGGAGCAAAC